UACGGAGGGAGCAAGCGUUGUCCGGAAUCACUGGGCGUAAAGGGCGCGUAGGUGGCCUGUGGAAGUCUGCGGUGAAAGCCCGGCGCUCAACGCCGGGUCGGCCGUGGAUACUCUCGGGCUUGAGCUUACUAGAGGCGAGUGGAAUUCCUGGUGUAGCGGUGAAAUGCGCAGAUAUCAGGAGGAACACCAAUGGCGAAGGCAGCUCGCUGGGACGUGACUGACGCUGAGACGCGAAAGCGUGGGGAGCAAACAGG
rnacentral:rRNA from 1 species